rnacentral:rRNA from 1 species
AUGGGGCGGUUGUUUGCGGUGGACGCCGCGGCCGCGGCGGCGCUGAACGGCGCGGUGGACUGGUGGAAAGAUGUGAACGACUCGCCGAUGUGGCAGGACCGCAUCUUCCACGCCCUCGCCGUGCUCUACGGCGUCGUCUCCGUCGUCGCGCUUGUCCAAUUGAUCAGAAUCGAGUGUAGGGUGCCCGAGUACGGGUGGACGACGCAGAAGGUGUUCCAUUUCCUUAACUUCAUCGUGAAUGGCGUGCGGGCUAUCGUGUUUGUGCUGCGGCGAAACGUGCAGCUGAUACAACCAGAGAUACUUCAACAUGUGGUUCUUGACAUGCCUGGGCUUGCGUUCUUCACUACAUACGCGCUUUUGGUGCUAUUCUGGGCCGAGAUUUACUAUCAGGCACGUGCGAUGUCGACUGAUGGGCUGAGGCCAACUUUCUAUUGGAUCAAUGGGGUGGUGUAUGCAAUUCAGAUAAUUCUGUGGUUGGUUUUGUGGUGGAAACCAGUUCGAAUUAUGGUCAUAUUGUCCAAGAUGUUCUUUGCAGGCGUAUCACUGUUUGCAGCUUUUGGGUUCCUUCUGUAUGGUGGGAGGCUAUUCCUCAUGUUGCAACGUUUUCCCGUAGAAUCAAAAGGUAGACGGAAGAAAUUACAGGAGGUUGGCUAUGUCACUACCAUCUGCUUUACUUGUUUCUUGAUCAGAUGUGUCAUGAUGUGUCUCAAUGCAUUUGAUAAAGCAGCUGAUCUUGAUGUUCUGAGCCAUCCGAUUCUGAAUUUCUUUUAUUACCUGCUGGUCGAGAUCGUACCUUCAGCUAUGGUUCUGUUUAUACUAAGGAAACUACCCCCAAAACGUGGGAUCACGCAGUACCAUCCUAUCCAUUAG